AGGAUCAAGAGUUCAAACUCCAAGCAGGGACCUAAAUAAAUGUCUUUCUAUGGCCUGUUGGCCAUUUCAGAAAUUUAAAAAUGUAAUGUUCAAUUCAUUAGAAAGAAACAUCU